GACGAACGCUGGCGGCGUGCUUAACACAUGCAAGUCGAACGGAAAGGCCCUGCUUUUGUUGGGCGCUCGAGUGGCGAACGCGUGAGUAACACGUGAGUAACCUGCCCUUGACUUUGGGAUAACUUCAGGAAACUGGGGCUCAUACCGGGUAGGAGCUCCUGCUGCAUGGGGGGUGUUGGAAAGAUUCGGCGGUUGGGGAUGGACUCGCGGCUUAUCAGCUUGUUGGUGGGGUAGUGGCUUACCAAGGCUUUGACGGGUAGCCGGCCUGAGAGGGUGACCGGCCACAUUGGGACUGAGAUACGGCCCAGACUCCUACGGGAGGCAGCAGUGGGGAAUAUUGCACAAUGGGCGGAAGCCGGAUGCAGCAACGCCGCGUGCGGGAUGACGGCCUUCGGGUUGUAAACCGCUUUCGCCUGUGACGAAGCGUGAGUGACGGUAAUGGGUAAAGAAGCACCGGCUAACUACGUG
rnacentral:rRNA from 1 species